rnacentral:rRNA from 1 species
UACGUAGGGACCGAGCGUUGUCCGGAUUCAUUGGGCGUAAAGAGCUCGUAGGCGGCUGCUCAAGUCGGAUGUGAAAACUCGAGGCUCAACCUCGAGCCUGCAUUCGAUACUGGGCGGCUAGAGUCUGGUAGGGGGAUCUGGAAUUCCUGGUGUAGCGGUGGAAUGCGCAGAUAUCAGGAGGAACACCGGUGGCGAAGGCGGAUCUCUGGGCCGUAACUGACGCUGAGGAGCGAAAGCAUGGGGAGCGAACAGG